AUUUAUGUAGUUUAAUAAAAACAUUACAUUUUCACUGUAAAAAUAAAUAAAAUUUCAUAAAUC
rnacentral:tRNA from 1 species